rnacentral:rRNA from 1 species
AUUGAACGCUGGCGGCAUGCCUAACACAUGCAAGUCGAACGGAGUGGCGGACGGGUGAGUAAUAUAUCGGAACGUGCCUAGUAGCGGGGGCUAACUACGCGAAAAAGUGGCUAAUACCGCAUACGAUCAGAUCGGCCGAUAUUGGAUUAGCUAGUUGGUGGGGUAAAGGCUCACCAAGGCGACGAUCCGUAGCUGGUUUGAGAGGACGACCAGCCACACUGGGACUGAGACACGGCCCAGACUCCUACGGGAGGCAGCAGUGGGGAAUUUUGGACAAUGGGGGAAAGCCUGAUCCAGCCAUGCCGCGUGUAUGAAGAAGGCCUUCGGGUUGUAAAGUACUUUUGGCAGAGAAGCGGUAUCUGCAGAAUAAGCACCGGCUAACUACGUGCCAGCCGCCGCGGUAAUAC